UCCGAGUUGAAAACUGUCAGCUUUGAGUUGACUUUUGAGGCACUUUUUACUCAGCUGUUCUAUGGAAACGUAUCAGGACAAAUAAAACGCUAACCAAAAGUUAUUCUGUCCAGAGUAACGUUAUCCAUGUAAGUAAUUUACCAGAUGAUAUCAAUUGACUACAUUAAUAAUGACAUUGCGUAUUAAACAAACUGUCUGCUUAAUCAGAUUAUCAGACCCGCGUCAGUUAUUCGUGACUUCGCUACGCCACGAGCAACACUUGAUUCUAUUAGAAAAAGCUUUUUUAAAUGUCUCGCGUGACGUCUGGUAACGUUAUAUUAACUGAAAAAAAAAAUCGCUUUGAAGUGGCCACACACCUUAAAGCUGACGUUUUCAGAAGAGAACCUUGUUGUUUUAAGAUCUAAUUUUGUCCAAAUUUUGUAUGACUGAUAUAAUACUUAUUUCAUUAUUGCUCUGUGUAUGUGUGACCUUCAUCAUUUGAGGUUAUGUGUUGAUUUCACCUCUGAAUAUUUCCUCUUAUAGGUCCAUCAUCCUUGCACACACUCAAAAGCAUUGAUAAAUGCUGAAUUUAAAAGAAUCACUACUGUCUAAUGUUCCUGCGUGUCACCUGGACCUCCAAUCCAAAAACCUGAUGAAACUCUUCUAUCAGAAAGGAGGACAGCUAGCAAAAAGACUUGGAACAAUCAAUGAUCAAAUGACAGAAGGCAUGGAUGAAGUCAGCAUCAGUGAGGUCAUUUGAAGACACCAAUGUUGGGAUUUGUGCUCUCAAACAACAUGCUUCUUGUGAUGAAGAGGAUCUUUGUAUAGUCCUGGAAGGCAUGAAGGUGUUGCAACAUCGUGCCAUGUUGUUUGAGCUGAUGUAUGCCUUAAACCUGAGCUAUCCUGAUCUCCGCUUUAUUUUUGAGGAAAUCCAAAAGAUUUUAAUGGAAAUGC